AUAUUUGCCUGGCAGGGGAGAUCCCAUGAUCAUGAGGGCAGUUUUCCCAGGGUGAGGCUCACCCACUGCACUCCGGGUGUGCUGACCCCUGUGAUUUCCCCAAAUAUGGGAAACUCAACUGCAUAAUUUGUGGUCGUGGGGGACUGCGUUUGCGCUAUACCCUG
ensembl:snRNA U1 U1 spliceosomal RNA